AGGACGAACGCUGGCGGCGUGCCUAACACAUGCAAGUCGAGCGGAAAGGCCCUUCGGGGUACUCGAGCGGCGAACGGGUGAGUAACACGUGAGUAAUCUGCCCCUAGCUCUGGGAUAGCUCCGGGAAACCGGGAUUAAUACCGGAUACGACCACUUUAGACAUCUGUUGUGGUGGAAAGAAUUUUGGCUAGGGAUGAGCUCGCGGCCUAUCAGCUUGUUGGUGGGGUAACGGCCUACCAAGGCGACGACGGGUAGCCGGCCUGAGAGGGCGACCGGCCACACUGGGACUGAGACACGGCCCAGACUCCUACGGGAGGCAGCAGUGGGAAUAUUGCGCAAUGGGCGAAAGCCUGACGCAGCGACGCCGCGUGGGGGAUGAAGGCCUUCGGGUUGUAAACCCUUUCAGCAGGGACGAAGCGAAAGUGACGGUACCUGCAGAAGAAGACGCCGGCUAACUACGUGCCAGCAGCCGC
rnacentral:rRNA from 1 species